rnacentral:rRNA from 1 species
ACACACCGCCCGUCACACCAUGGGAGGUCGGAAAUGCCCGAAGUCGGUGACUUAACCGAAAGGAGAGAGCCGCCGAAGGCAGGUCUGAUAACUGGGGUGAAGUCGUAACAAGGUAAC